rnacentral:rRNA from 1 species
ACGUAGGGGGCAAGCGUUGUCCGGAAUUACUGGGCGUAAAGCGCACGCAGGCGGUUCGUUAAGACGGAUGUGUACGAUCGAGGCUCAACCCCGGUUUGCGUUCGAUACUGGCUGACUGGAGUGUCGGAGAGAGAAGUGGAAUUCCCGUUGUAGCGGUGAAAUGCGUAGAUAUCGGGAGGAACACCAGUGGCGAAGGCGGCUUCCUUUUUGGCAACUGACGUUUGUUUGCGAAAGCUUUUGUUGCAACCGG